rnacentral:tRNA from 1 species
GCCCGGAUGGCGGAAUUGGCAGACGCGCCUGACUCAAAAUCAGGUUCCGAAAGGAGUGUGGGUUCGAGACCCUCUCCGGGUACCA